rnacentral:rRNA from 1 species
CUGGUCAAAGGGUUGCCAACCCGCGAGGGGGAGCUAAUCCCAUAAAGCCAGUCGUAGUCCGGAUCGUAGUCUGCAACUCGACUACGUGAAGUCGGAAUCGCUAGUAAUCGUGGAUCAGAAUGUCACGGUGAAUACGUUCCCGGGUCUU